GGGGGUGACCGGCUUUGACGGUCUGUACCUUGAAAGACGUGCGACGCAGUGCACUCCCGCUAACACGUAAAACUGGCGGGAAAUAAACUUGCCAAGAACACUCUUGCAAGCGCGACGAAGUCUCCUUACUUCGGUAAGGUCGGCGAUAUCGCGUUCGCCUACGCGACGGUUCGCGGCUAACGCCACGUUCCUCGCCUAGCGCGACGUUUGUCUUCACUCGGCGCUCACAGCGGAGAAGACGGGCGGAAUCUUCUGUGAGAUCGAUGCUCGGCCUCCCGCCCGGCGCAUCUAGAUAAGGGAUCGGGCAGGAAUGGUUUCGUCAACGUUCCUAGCAUCCUGCCUUAGACACUAACGCUGACUACGCGUCGUAGAAUCGCUUUCAGAGACGGAUUCGGACCGGGGUUCAAUUCCCCGCACCUCCACUC
rnacentral:tmRNA from 7 species